rnacentral:rRNA from 1 species
GAUGAACGCUGGCGGCGUGCCUAAUACAUGCAAGUCGAGCGAACGGACGAGAAGCUUGCUUUUCUGAUGUUAGCGGCGGACGGGUGAGUAACACGUGGAUAACCUACCUAUGAGACUGGGAUAACUUCGGGAAACCGGAGCUAAUACCGGAUAAUAUUUUGAACCGCAUGGUUCAAAAGUGAAAGACGGUCUUGCUGUCACUUAUAGAUGGAUCCGCGCUGCAUUAGCUAGUUGGUAAGGUAACGGCUUACCAAGGCAACGAUGCAUAGCCGACCUGAGAGGGUGAUCGGCCACACUGGAACUGAGACACGGUCCAGACUCCUACGGGAGGCAGCAGUAGGGAAUCUUCCGCAAUGGGCGAAAGCCUGACGGAGCAACGCCGCGUGAGUGAUGAAGGUCUUCGGAUCGUAAAACUCUGUUAUUAGGGAAGAACAUAUGUGUAAGUAACUGUGCACAUCUUGACGGUACCUAAUCAGAAAGCCACGGCUAACUACGUGCCAGCAGCCGCGGUAAUACGUAGGUGGCAAGCGUUAUCCGGAAUUAUUGGGCGUAAAGCGCGCGUAGGCGGUUUUUUAAGUCUGAUGUGAAAGCCCACGGCUCAACCGUGGAGGGUCAUUGGAAACUGGAAAACUUGAGUGCAGAAGAGGAAAGUGGAAUUCCAUGUGUAGCGGUGAAAUGCGCAGAGAUAUGGAGGAACACCAGUGGCGAAGGCGACUUUCUGGUCUGUAACUGACGCUGAUGUGCGAAAGCGUGGGGAUCAAACAGGAUUAGAUACCCUGGUAGUCCACGCCGUAAACGAUGAGUGCUAAGUGUUAGGGGGUUUCCGCCCCUUAGUGCUGCAGCUAACGCAUUAAGCACUCCGCCUGGGGAGUACGACCGCAAGGUUGAAACUCAAAGGAAUUGACGGGGACCCGCACAAGCGGUGGAGCAUGUGGUUUAAUUCGAAGCAACGCGAAGAACCUUACCAAAUCUUGACAUCCUUUGACAACUCUAGAGAUAGAGCCUUCCCCUUCGGGGGACAAAGUGACAGGUGGUGCAUGGUUGUCGUCAGCUCGUGUCGUGAGAUGUUGGGUUAAGUCCCGCAACGAGCGCAACCCUUAAGCUUAGUUGCCAUCAUUAAGUUGGGCACUCUAAGUUGACUGCCGGUGACAAACCGGAGGAAGGUGGGGAUGACGUCAAAUCAUCAUGCCCCUUAUGAUUUGGGCUACACACGUGCUACAAUGGACAAUACAAAGGGCAGCGAAACCGCGAGGUCAAGCAAAUCCCAUAAAGUUGUUCUCAGUUCGGAUUGUAGUCUGCAACUCGACUACAUGAAGCUGGAAUCGCUAGUAAUCGUAGAUCAGCAUGCUACGGUGAAUACGUUCCCGGGUCU